rnacentral:rRNA from 2 species
UAGACCGCCUGGGGAGUACGGCCGCAAGGUUAAAACUCAAAUGAAUUGACGGGGGCCCGCACAAGCGGUGGAGCAUGUGGUUUAAUUCGAUGCAACGCGAAGAACCUUACCUGGUCUUGACAUCCACGGAAGUUUUCAGAGAUGAGAAUGUGCCUUCGGGAACCGUGAGACAGGUGCUGCAUGGCUGUCGUCAGCUCGUGUUGUGAAAUGUUGGGUUAAGUCCCGCAACGAGCGCAACCCUUAUCCUUUGUUGCCAGCGGUUAGGCCGGGAACUCAAAGGAGACUGCCAGU